rnacentral:rRNA from 1 species
UACGGAGGAUCCGAGCGUUAUCCGGAUUUAUUGGGUUUAAAGGGUGCGCAGGCGGGAAAUUAAGUCGGCGGUGAAAUUUUGCGGCUCAACCGUAAAAGUGCCUUCGAUACUGGUUUUCUUGAGUGUAGCUGGAGUAGGCGGAAUUUGUGGUGUAGCGGUGAAAUGCAUAGAUAUCACGAGGAACUCCGAUUGCGCAGGCAGCUUACUAAACUACUACUGACGCUCAUGCACGAAGGCGUGGGGAUCAAACAGGAUUAGAUACCCCGGUAGUCCCU